rnacentral:misc_RNA from 1 species
UACGGCGCAAUCAAACGGUGGCACCGCACUCCGGAUUCGAACUGCUUUUGGCCCAACUAUAAUAACAUAUUUGAGUUCUUCAUUCUCUAUUUUCUUAUAAGCAGAAAUGGGUCUUACGCAAUCCAAAAAUAGCAUUACACUCCGGAUUCGAACCGGUGACCAGAAAGGAGCAGCAACCGAUGCUAACGUUUAUGCUAUAUUAUACGAUACUUCGGAUAACGAAAGUGAGAAGAUCCUUGUGGACAACUUCUGGAAAAGGGAUUUUAAAAUCGGGGCCCUCGACACUUUUGAUAUUGAACUCCCGGAAUCGUUCACAGAAGUGAAAAAAAUUGAACUUUGGACCGAAAAGGCUACAAUCGAAUUAACAUCUACAACUUGGUUCAUACAAACAGUGGAAUUGGUACGUGGAUUUACUAGAAAGAGCGUAGUGUUUCCUGUUUUCCGUUGGAUAAGGCCAUCGGUCCAUUAUUUCCUUUAUCCUUGGAAUACAUUCUUACCACAGAAUGAUCCGGAUAAGGAGCAACGAGAAAACGAAAUCAAGUACACACGUGAGAUGUACAAGUUGAAAUAUCAGAGAGGACGUCCUACUAUGUUGGAAAGCUUGCCUGCUGAUGAAGAAUUCUCAGAUUCAUAUAAGAAACUCCUAUUCACAACCAAGUUGGAGGUUAAGCUGAAGAACUGGAUAAGUUCAAUCACAACAGAUUCCUGGGAGACGUUGGAUGAUCUGACGAACAUUUACUACAAAGAAGGGAUCACGAAACCAAAGGUUUGUGAAUACUGGCACGAUGACACGUGGUUUGGAUAUCAACGACUUAAUGGUUGUAACCCCAAAUCAAUAAAACUGUGUGAAGAAAUCCCUUCAAAACUUGCAGUGGAUGAGGAGAUGAUGAAACCAGUUCUGGAUGGAGAAACAUUGGAAGGACUAAUCGAAAAGAAGCGACUGUUUUACGCAGACUUAGAAAUUUUGGAAGGCAUUGGCCACAAUCAAAGAUUUGAUGUCUGUGUUCCCAUUGCAUUGUUUAUGCUGGAUUACGAAGAUGAGUUGACACCAAUUGCUAUACAGCUACAACAACGGAAAGGACGAAGUAAUCCUGUCUUUCUUCCUACGGACGAUCAUUACGUCUGGACUCUUGCUAAGAUGUGGUUCAACAUGGCUGACUCCACCUGCCAUCAAAUUUCCGCUCAUCUGGGUUUAACUCAUUUAUUGAUGCAAGUGGUUGUCCUUGCCCUACACAGAAACAUAUCUGUGUCGCAUCCAGUCUACAAGAUUUUGGCACCUCACACACUUUUCCUUUUGGCCAUCAAUUUUAAUGCAUUUAAAAGCCUUGUAAACCCUGGAAGUUUAACCGAAAAGAUAAUGCCAAUUCGAACCGAACAUAUGUUUCAACUUAUAGACAAAAGUUUAAAGCGAUGGGACUUUCUUGGUGAUGGAAUUCCAAUGAAAGAGUUCCAAAGCAGGAAAGUUGAUGACCCGAAAGUCUUACCCAAAUACUACUACAGAGAUGAUUCGCUUGCAUUGUACAACUGUGUGUAUAAGUACGUCUCCAACUAUAUAGACAUCUACUAUGCUGAUGAAAACGAUGUAGAUAAUGACUGGGAGAUACAAAACUGGAUCGAAAGUAUGGCCGUAGGACACGAGAAUGGAGGCGUACAGGGUUUACCAAUGAAAGAUGGUAAAGGUCACGUGUCUUCAAAGGAAGAAUUAAAAGAUAUUCUAGCCGUAAUAAUUUUUACCUGUAGCGUGACACAUGCCGCUGUCAAUUUCCUGCAGUAUGAAGAAUAUGGUUUCCCUGCAAACUAUCCAUCGAUGCUCAGGUCACCGCUGUUAAAAGACAAAGUAAACCUAAAACGGAGAAGGACAUCAUUGCUGCCCUACCUAACAAAGCGACAACUUUUGACGUUUUAACGUUGACCCACGUAUUCAGUCAAAAGGGGACCAAUUCCUUGGGUGAUUUUGAAACACAAUAUAUCUACGAUCCGAAGGCUGUUGGUUGUGUCAAAGUUUUCCAAUCAGACUUGAAAAGAAUUGGUGACGGAAUCA